rnacentral:rRNA from 1 species
GAUGAACGCUGGCGGCGUGCCUAAUACAUGCAAGUCGAGCGAACAGAUGAGGAGCUUGCUCCUCUGACGUUAGCGGCGGACGGGUGAGUAACACGUGGAUAACCUACCUAUAAGACUGGGAUAACUUCGGGAAACCGGAGCUAAUACCGGAUAAUAUAUUGAACCGCAUGGUUCAAUAGUGAAAGACGGUUUUGCUGUCACUUAUAGAUGGAUCCGCGCCGCAUUAGCUAGUUGGUAAGGUAACGGCUUACCAAGGCAACGAUGCGUAGCCGACCUGAGAGGGUGAUCGGCCACACUGGAACUGAGACACGGUCCAGACUCCUACGGGAGGCAGCAGUAGGGAAUCUUCCGCAAUGGGCGAAAGCCUGACGGAGCAACGCCGCGUGAGUGAUGAAGGUCUUCGGAUCGUAAAACUCUGUUAUUAGGGAAGAACAAAUGUGUAAGUAACUAUGCACGUCUUGACGGUACCUAAUCAGAAAGCCACGGCUAACUGCGUG